AGAGUAGGUCGAAUGAUCGCCGCCCUGGGUUGUCCGUGAGGAAACAACCGGGGGGGAGGAAAGUCCGAGCUCCAGAGGGCAGGGUGCUGGGUAACGCCCAGUCCCGGUGACGGGAGGAAAGUGCCACAGAAAAUAGACCGCCCAGGGAGGCCUGCGAGGGCUUAUACCACUGGGUAAGGGUGAAACGGUGAGGUAAGAGCUCACCAGCUCCAGUGGUGACAUUGGAGGCUUGGCAAACCCCACCCGGAGCAAGACCAAAUAGGAGAGCAUCCGAGGAUGGCCCGUCCAAGCUCUCGGGUAGGUCGCUGGAGAUCUCGGGUAACCGAGAUCCUAGAUGAAUGAUCAUUACCUGUUCGGGCUAUUCCCGAAUAGGCACAGAACUCGGCUUAUGACCUGCUCUAUUC
rnacentral:RNase_P_RNA from 1 species